rnacentral:lncRNA from 1 species
AUUCAAAAUGGCGGCGCCCAAGAUGGCGGCGCGGCGGCGGCGGCGCGGGAUGAUGACGUCACAACCCCCGCGACGGCGCCAUGCUCCGCGCGUUGGUGGAGGGCGGCGCGGGGGGGCUGCUACACCGCCACGUGUGAAGGCCGCAGCCUCCUCUGGGCUUUUGUCACUGCUGCUGUGAAAAGGGCUGAGCCGGUCGACGUCGUUCUCCUCGAGGUGUCCCAGGAGCAGUUUGGGGUUGGACUGAGCCCGGAGGUGAAGAAGCAGUGAGUGCCCCAUAGAGUGCCCCAUAGAUCCCCCAUAGAGUGCCCCAUAGAACCCCCAUAGAUUGCCCCAUAGAAACCCCGUAGAGUGACCCAUAGGUCCCCCAUAGACUGCCCGAUAGAGCACCCCAUACAUCCCCCACAGCACCCCAUAGAUCACCCCAUAGGGGUGACCCACAGCCACCCCAUAACCCCCCAAAUAACCCCAUAUCUGCUCCAUAGAACCCCAUUGACCCCCAAGCCCCCAGGUGUGCCCCAUAGCCGCCCCAUAACCAACCCAUAGCUCCAUAUUCCCCCAUAGCUGCCCCAUAACCACCCCAUAGCUUUCUAUUCCCCCGUAGCCACCCCAUAUUUCCCUAUUCCCCUAUAGCUGCCCCAUAACCACCGUAUAAAGCCAUAUAACCCCAUAGCUGCCUCAUAGCCGCCCCACAUCUGCAAUGGGGCCGGGCCCAACUCGAUGGUGGUGGUGGAUUCCUUGAGCGCCGCCUUGAUGCGAGAGCGCCCCCUUGUGGCCGGGAGGAGAUUGAGGGCCGCCUUAGGGGCGGGGCGAGGUGAGGGGGCGUGGCUAAGGGCGGAAGGGGGCGGGGCGACAGGCGGAAAUGGGGCGUGGUGACGGUGGAGGGUGGGCAAAUGGAGGCGAGGGGGCGUGGUCAGAACAGAGGGGUGGAGCCAAUGGUGGUGGGGGCGUGGUCAAACUGGUGGGCGUGGCUUAUGGUGGGGUCACGGUGGUGGGCGGGGCCAAACGCUGC